GACAGAGGGUGCAAACGUUGUUCGGAAUUACUGGGCGUAAAGCGUGUGUAGGCGGUCCACUAAGUCGGGUGUGAAAGCCCCGGGCUCAACCUGGGAAUUGCAUUCGAGACUGCGUAGCUAGGGUGCGGAAGAGGGAAGCGGAAUUUCCGGUGUAGCGGUGAAAUGCGUAGAUAUCGGAAGGAACACCAGUGGCGAAAGCGGCUUCCUGGUCCAGCACCGACGUUCAGGCACGAAAGCGUGGGGAGCAAACAGG
rnacentral:rRNA from 1 species